AUUGAACGCUGGCGGCAGGCCUAACACAUGCAAGUCGAGCGGAGCGGCGGACGGGUGAGUAAUGCCUAGGAAUCUGCCUGGUGGUGGGGGAUAAAGUCCGGGAACGGACGCUAAUACAACAUGAUAUAAGGUGAGCCUAGGUCGGAUUAGCUAGUUGGUGGGGUAAAGGCCUACCAAGGCGGCGAUCCGUAACUGGGCUGAGAGGAUGAUCAGUCACACGGGAACUGAGACACGGUCCAGACUCCUACGGGAGGCAGCAGUGGGGAAUAUUGGACAAUGGGCGAAAGCCUGAUCCAGCCAUGCCGCGGGUGUGAAGAAGGUCUUCGGAUUGUAAAGCACUUUAAGUUGGGAGGCGUUACCAACAGAAUAAGCACCGGCUAACUUCGUGCCAGCAGCCGCGGUAAUUC
rnacentral:rRNA from 1 species